rnacentral:RNase_P_RNA from 1 species
CGGAGCGGGUGCAUGAUCGCUCCGGCAUUUUUAUUGCCGGUGAGGAAAGUCCGAACUCCACAGGGCAGGAUGGUUCGUAACGCGAACGCCGGGUGACCGGCGGAAAGUGCCACAGAAAACAAACCGCCUGUAAAGGUAAGGGUGAAACGGCGAGGUAAGAGCUCACCGCUUUCAUGGUGACAUGAAAGGCAGGGUAAACCCCAUCCGGUGCAAGACCAAAUAGGGAGGCGUUUGAGGGCUGCCCGUCCGAAGUCUCCGGGUAGGUUGCAAGAGGUGUCGGGCAACCGGCAUCCCAGUUAAAUGAUCAUGGCCCUUACGGGUACAGAAUUCGGCUUAUAGCCCGCUCCACUUU